GAUGAAGAACGCAGCGAAAUGCGAUAAGUAAUGUGAAUUGCAGAAUUCAGUGAAUCAUCGAAUCUUUGAACGCACAUUGCGCCCGCCAGUAUUCUGGCGGGCAUGUCUGUUCGAGCGUCAUUUCAACCAUCAAGCCCCCGGCUUGUGUUGGGGACCUGCGGCUGCCGCAGGCCCUGAAAUGCAGUGGCGGGCUCGCUGUCACUCCGAGCGUAGUAGUUACAUCUCGCUCUGGGCGUGCUGCGGGUUCCGGCCGUUAAAAGCCUUAUUUACCCAAGGUUGACCUCGGAUCAGGUAGGAAGACCCGCUGAACUUAAGCAUAUCAAUAAGCGGAGGA
rnacentral:misc_RNA from 1 species